CGGCAUAGUGACAAACACCCAAUAAUCUCCAGAAUGUUCUUUGGAAGAGAUACGAACUGUAGGGGAGGAAUUUUCUUAUUUUUCUCAUGUUCGAAAAACCUCCCAUGCAGGUGUAAUUCACCCACAUAUGUUCGAACCGCUGUGACGGUCUGAGCGUCGAAUGCAACACAAGGAAGUGAUUCGGCGAAGUUGACAUGGAACUUCACACCCAAUACACAGACUGGAUGAUACAACAGUGAAAUGUCUCAUCAGUUAACAACCUUUGUGGAGAUGGAUACAAGAGCUACAAACAGGAUUCAGACACCCCAAAUGCAUCAACAGAAUAUCAGAAUUGGUGCCAUUGAAGGAGGCAAUGUGGAGAGAAAGAAAAAGGGAAGAGGAGGUAGAGAGGCUAUCUGCAGAUGAAAAUUGAUUUAUUGUGGCUCUGAUGAGGAGCGGCAAGCCAGGAGACAGCGGGUGUCCUCCAGGCCCUUAUUGCACCACUAUAAAUGAAA